CUGGAGCUGAAAAUUAUAAUAGUCCUAAUUAGAAAAGUUGAAUUUGCAUUUAUUUUCUCUAAGCUCAGGAGAGCAUUUGUCUCAUCUCACAGCUGCAGUGAGAAGUGGUGAAGCUACUUAUCGGAAGGUUAGGGCCAGGUGGAAGGAGGUUACCCUGCUGUGGGAUAAUUCAUGAGAGAGUUUCCCAUUUGGGCAUGUGCAGCGCUCCUGUCCCCCCUUGUAUAUAUUUAGUCUAGGAUGACCUGCUCUUAAUUGCAAGAUGGGUUCCUUGUCGUCCAAUGUGUAGCAAUAAGGACAGCUGUAUGCAAUGUAUCAAACAUUUCAG